CUUUCACUACCAAAGACACGGCGUGGUAAACGUCACAAAUCCACCGUGGAGAGUUAUGGCUAUCAUUAUAAAACUAAGUUGUCUUUGGCAGCCGCACAGCGAACACCAUGCAUCCGCAAUAAAAUGACUCGAUCCCUUUGUAACAGGGGUUCAGAUUGCACCACAUGGCUGACUAGCUGUUGUGGCCUGUAGAGGCGGCUGUACGAAGUCCGUGAUGUGAAGCUGCCUUCACGUCGUCAGGAGUCUGUCAGUCUGAGACCAUGUGACCUGCAUUGGACCGCCCUCCACCCCAUCCCUCAGACUCUCAAUGCCGCAAUCUGGUUGGUCAAUCUGAGACCAUGUGACCUGCAGUGAUCCACUAUCCCUCAGCCCUCUGGUUCCAUAGAUGGGAGGGGCUUCCCACCACAAUGGCUGCCCAUCCUGUGGUUUCUGUUGCGUUUCAGAACCAGAAGGGUGCUGAUUGACUUCCAUCAUGUUGAAGGGGUGGUUACUACCCACAGCUGGUGUUAUCCAAUACAUGUGCUAUGUAUCAAACUAAGCAUUGUAUGUGGGCCAAAGCAUUAAGUCUUGUAGUGAAUCUGGAGAUUGACCAAGUUCAAGAGACUAGACUGGUUUAACCCUGGAUUAUAAACUGAAAUGGUACAUUUGAUGAUUUAACAGUAGCUGUGGGGGGGGGGGGGGGUGUGAGGUCUGUCUGUAACGCUGCUCUGGUUUCUUGAUAAUCAUUUGUUUAGGCCCUAGUUUUAGCACACCUGGGCUGCAGUCCAAACACUUAAAAUGCGCCCUACCCCCUUCAGCCCUCAUUAAGUGGACACUUCUGAUACCCUAUAAUGCUGCCUGAUGAGUGUACGCUUGCAGGGCCAGGAAGGAUUUUUUAAAUGGCUGCCCUUACCUGGAAAUCCGUCGCUCGUCCUGCGAUUGUCUUAUUAGCCACCGGUAGCUUGUGGGUGUUAUGUGCUACAGUCAAUUAUGAUUGCAUUUCUAAAUAUCUUAGCAAAUUAGUUACCUACUGUUAGCCUGUCUAGCUGGAACUUCUGAAGAUAAAUGUAGUAAUACAAUUUCCAAAAGCUAACCAAAUAGUAAUUUAUGAGAUGUUUGUGCUGUCAUGUGCAUUAGUAGUGCAAUUUAGGACUUAUUUACGUUUUGUUUUACAUUCACUUGUAAAUUGACCACUAAAGCGAGGGCACAGGGGGCUUAUGUUGCGAGCUUCCCUUGCUUGGCUAAUAAUUUGCACCGCCUGCCAACAUGGUGCUGUUAUUCCCCCCAAGUGCAUAAAGUGAGUGUUUUUGGUUUGGACUGUGGCCCUGUACUAAUGUCCAGUUUAUAUAGUGAAGUGCCACAAAGGACACAGGCAAAUUAGUUGGCCCAGAACAGGGCAGCGCAACUGGCAUUUAAUGGGUACUUCAGGAUUUUGGCACAUAAGAGUAGUGUUUUUAAUUAUGUAGGUUGUAGUUUUAUUACUUAAAUACUAUUUUGUUUACUAUUCUGUUAUCCACACCCUGCCUGUAUCUGGACCCUACAGUCUGCGGCAGUAUCAUAUAUAGUGUCAAGACCUUGGGUGUUUUGUUCUGUUAAGGUAGUCAAUAAAGUUUUUACAAUGUG